GUCUAGGGCCAUGCCACCCUGAACAAGCCCGAUCCCGUCUACUUUUGGAAGCUAAGCAGGGUUGAGCCUGGUUAGUACUUGGAUGGGAGAGCACCUAGGAAGACCAGGUGCUGUAGGUG
rnacentral:rRNA from 1 species